ACAAAAGUGUUUUUCAACACCACCUAAUUAUUCUCAUAAAGAUUGU
rfam:Picea glauca, whole genome shotgun sequence.